rnacentral:rRNA from 1 species
GUGGGGAAUAUUGGGCAAUGGGGGCAACCCUGACCCAGCGACGCCGCGUGAGGGAAGACGGCCUUCGGGUUGUAAACCUCUUUUGUACGGGAAGAAGGAUGUGACGGUACCGUGCGAAUAAGUCCCGGCUAACUACGUGCCAGCAGCCGCGGUAAUACGUAGGGGACGAGCGUUGUCCGGAAUUACUGGGCGUAAAGGGCGCGCAGGCUGUAGAUCAAGUCAGCUGUGAAAUGUCUGGGCUUAACCCGGGCAUGCGGUUGAAACUGAUGUACUGGAGUGCUGUAGAGGCAAGUGGAAUUCCCAGUGUAGCGGUGAAAUGCGUAGAUAUUGGGAAGAACACCGGUGGCGAAGGCGACUUGCUGGGCAGCAACUGACGCUGAGGCGCGAAAGCCAGGGGAGCAAACGGGAUUAGAUACCCCGGUAGUCC